rnacentral:lncRNA from 1 species
GCCGCCUGUUCCUCAGGGACACGCUCGGCUUCUGGACGCCAGUUGACUGUGGCACGAUUGCGGAUGUUCUGGGCACGGCUGGCGUAGUUUAGGGUGUUAAGGGUUUCAUCGAAGUCGGAGGAGGAGGGGCUGACGCAGGCGAUCAUCACUGUCUUGGCAUUCCCUCCCAGAGAGUCUUUGAGGAUCCUGCGAGCGAGAGGAUUAUACUCUUCUGAGUACUGACCUGGGAUCACCGGCGUAGGUUCAAAGCUACCUUUCCUGGGGGGUGGGGGGGAAUCCAUGAUCCCACCCAAGCCCAGAGAGAUGGGCCAUCUCACCGGGUGAUCUUGGAGUCACGGUAAGGGAUGUGGCUGCCUCGGCGCUGGGGGUCUCCCAGAGCACUAAUGACAUUUCCCAGGGCCAGCAGGGUACUGUUAAUCUGGAUGCUCUCUUUGAGCCGUUCGCCGGUGCUGCCGGUCUUCAGAACCCUCUCAGAGCCUGCCAGGUCCACGAAGUGGAAUUUAGAGACCAGCAGGUGGCCAGCGCCAGGUCGAGGCAAGCGGGUAGGAGCCCGUCCUCUCUGCUCCAGGGUCACAGUGAAGACUGUGUGCGAGCGGCUGGAGAGGCGGUUGAAGUGUGUGGCUCCUGUGUGCCGCGCAGCGUUGCCCAUCUCCAGGAGGCUCAGCACCUCGUCCAGGCCUUCCACGUCCACUUCUUUCACCCCACAGAGCACUGUGAAAACAGAAGACUGUGAGUAGCUCCCUACAGACAGCCAGAA